UUCUUUGAAACAUAGUUAAAAAAAAUCCACAAAUAUUUAUUUACUUUAUUUUGGAUGGAUUGUCCAACCAUCCCACCCAAGCUAUUGCUAUCAAACUUAAAAUAAAAUCUUAUUAGUUUGUUUUAUGUCAUUACAAAUGUUAAAGAGAUUGUAGAAAAUAUACCUGAACUCAGAAUCGUCUAUAAAGUACAACUUUUUUUAAACAUAAGGGAUCAAUAUGUUUCAAUUAUGGUCCUCUUCCACUUAGAAUAUGACUAUAUUACCUUGACCUUAUUGAAUAUGAACAAUUUCCCCAUGAUGGAUUACGUUAUACUGUCAAGCACUCAAAUAGCCGAGCGUGCUGUCCUCUGACAGCUCUUGUUUGUGUAGAGGUCUAUUAAAAACUGAUAAAAUUCCAGGAUUUCUAGAUUUUCCGGUUCCUACAGGACCCCAUACAAUCACACAUCUGUACACAUCUGAACAACAAUAGGCUCUCUGGCCAGUUGGGCCCCCACAUCCAAAAACAAUUCCUGGGUGUAGGUGUCGAGCUCUUGGGUCAGGAAUUUUGGGCAAAGCUCCUACCCCUAGGGUACAGCCAGUCUACCCAUGGGACUCCAAACUUCCCUGCUUAGAGGCAAGACCACCUCAUUUACAAGGUGCCUUAUCCUCACAAGUUCAGUCCCAGAGAAAAAUGUAACCCAACUGCAACACAGGCAAUACAUCUCAACAGGUCCGUCAGUCUCUUGUGCAACAACCGAAGCUAAAGAUGAAGCGCCACAGAGAGAAAUAGAGGUCACAACAGUAAGACAUGCAGAUAUUUGCUGCUUCAGUCUCAAUAGCAACAUCAGCAGCAGCAGCAGUAGCAAAAGCAGCAACAAUACCCACAAUUCAACAAUUAACAGUGCCAUUGCUGAGCUCUUUCAAAUGUCGAGGAUCACCCUAAACCACUCGGUGCCAAGCAAUGAAAUUAUCAGCUGCCACUUGACAUGACCACUGUACACACCUGGGAGUCAGGUUUAAGGUCACAUCAGCUUAAAUGUUCACGGCAGUAAGAAAAUGAAAGAUCUUAAAGGGACUUGUUCACAGAUUGUGUGGUUAACAAGAUGACUGAACAACAUGGCAUCAAUGGCAGGGAAGAAGUGAUCAGGGGGGGGUAAUCACGUGCAAGUCAAGAUGGCGACGUCCAUGCCAAGACUGAAAACCCUGAUUGCAAAGCGUAGAGUCUGCUCCGAAAGCAUUCGCACACAAGGCACAAACAUCAGCUGCAAUAAUCGUCUCGAUAUUCUGUCAUCGCCAUGGUGCACGACCCUCAGUCUAUGAACAUAGGGAACCUUGGACACCCAUGGACGAAAGAAAACUGGCCAAUCAGAAUUACAGCCUGUUGCAGCAGUGGUUACCGUAUUUACCCCAGUCAAACCUAUGAAGCUCAGAGAUAUAUACUGUUUAAGAUGUGCUAGUCUACAUACCUCCUGGUAUGUUCAGCACUUACUCUCACAGGUUUCAACUUUGAAUUUUGUGACGGAUGGAAAAUAAAUGAACUUGUUCAGAUCGAAAUGGCAGAAUGACAUAUCACAACAAGUCGAGUGGAAAGCCAAAAAGUCAUGUCAACAGCCACAUUUCUUAUGUGACCAGCCAAGUUGUAUUCAAAGGACAACACAAGUAUAUGUUUUAUGGGAAAUAUGAUGCUCUCAGUCAUUUUAUGUUGAAAAUUUUGGUAAAAUAUAGUAUGUAAAAAUUAUUAUCGUAAGCACACAUAUUACACGUCUAUCCAAUGUCUUUGUCUGUAUUAUGAAAUUUUCACUACAGAUUUUGAUCCUGAUAAUGCUACAAUUUUAUUUUAAUAUUGUCAAAGCUGUUUUAAUGAUGCUGGUAACUGUAAUGAAACAUGUUCAUGUUUUCUGUUUUUUACCAGUAAUAUAGAUGUGCUACUUAAAAAAAUUCUUCAGAAAGGCUGAGAGUUAUGAAAUAUCGGUAUUGUCUGUCUAUCAAUCUUUCUGAAACAAUAUAAGUCGAUUGGCUCACCCGGGGGUCAGUAUUCGAUCAAGAAUCUUGUUAAGUAGCAUAAUAUUUCAUGGGAAUACAUGUAUAAAUAAAUUCUGGGAAAAAUCAUUUAAUCUACCUAACAUUAUUGAUUCUGUAUUUACUACCAGUACUUGGUUGAUGUCAAUGGCUGCAGUUUGUUAAAUGAUUAGAGUAUGACUCUUGUGUUAUUGGGAAAGCUUUUUAUGUAAAUGAGAAUUAAACAAAUAUGAAAGUAUUUUAUGAAAAAUGGCAAAAGUUAUGAUUGUUAAAUUGUGUUGUUAUAUCAUAGACUUACAUGCUGGUAAGUUUUAAAGUUUGUUUUUUGACAUAACAGUUUAUUAUGCCAUAUAUUUGUAUAUGCGCAUUGAGACAACCCUCUUAAAUCAGUGAGUACACCUGUAUCUUAACCAAGAUUUCUGAUCACUGAAUAUAGGUAUAUUUUGCCAUGUAUACUGCGAAACAAUUGUAUGUUCAGUAUAAACUGUUUAUUUAAUGUUGCCAUUUUUAUAAGAUGACUCACUGUUUACAUUUAUUUGUACAAACAAUUGUUCUGAAACAACAUUUCUUGUGUAAAUGCUCAUAUACGUAUUAAACUGUUUAAAUAAUGCAGCAUGACAUAUUUUGAAGAGAAAAAGAUAGUUAAGGCAAUAUAAACACCUUGUUAUAUGCAAUGUUUUUCAUUGAAUGAAUUUUAGCAACUAUUUAAAAUGUAUUUUUUUUUACAUAAACUAAAGAAAAAAUAAUACCUUGAAAUUUGAAAUCAGUCAAUUAAAAUUAAGGGAGAGUGAUGUCAUAUGCUAACAAUUGCCAAGAAUUGCAAUGGCCUCUAUUGGCAAUAUUAGCGAGUACUAUUAUUUGCAAAAGAUAUCUAUUUUGUUAGAUAAUAACUGUGUUUUACAACUCGACAUAACAAGUAAAUACAUUUCUAAUUGUUUUGCACUAUAUACUCGGCUAUAGGUGAAUGUCUAAAAGGAUUUUGUGGAAUAAACACUUUAGAAAAUAUAUGCUUGUUUCAGGAAGUAAUAGUUUAGGUAAAAUGUGAUACUUAUUGUUACAUAAACACCAAGUGUAAUAACAAAAUGCAUCAGUAAUGACAUUAUUUGAAAAAUUACAUUUGCAUGAUCACACAAUGUGUAAAGUUGUGUAAAUGUGACGUUUAUGAAUUGUGUAUAUUUCAACAAUAAUAUUAUACUUGUAUUUAAAGUACUUGAUAAGUAUUGACGUAGAUCUAUUGCUAUUAGAGAAUUGUAUCAUUUAACUAGUUUUGUUACAGUUUGUGUAACGUUGACCAGUCCACAUAGCUGUCAGUGGAGUGAAUUCACUGGGGUUCAAUUUCCGUAAUUCUCCUAGUUUAAAACUUCAGCAUACACGUAUGUCUUAAAUCCAGAUUUCCCUAAAAUUGUGGUUGUUUAUAUUGAACUUUUAUUGAAUGCAUGUGACAUGUUUGUUCUUUUGUUGAACGACUGAAAAUAACUUUAUAUGUAUAAAUUGUGUGUCAUGUUUAGAUAUUGUCAUGUUUAGAUAAAUCAAAUUGAUAAAUAGAAAACAAAAUAAAAAAUUUGCAAUAAUUUGUAUGCAUGCUUAGCCCCCAAAAAUGUUAUCAUACAAGCUUAUUGGUAUUGGACUAUGUUUGUACUUUUAAGAUGAAAUGUUUCAAUCAUGUGUGAUUUUUAUCAUUUACGUUAAAUAAACAUUUUCCAUUAGUAGAUAUAGGGUGUAUAAACUCUUAUGUAGACUUCUUUUUAAUUGCUUUUGUAAAUAUCUUCAAUAUUUGACAUUACUGUUAAGUUUUUUUUUAGCUCACCUGUUUUCGGAAAAAAAAAACGAGGUAUUGUCAUAGCCAGCUCGUUGUGUCGUCCGACGUCCGCGUCGUGCUAAAACCUUUAAAUUUUGCUCUAAAAUCAAAGUGCUUCCACCUAAAACUUUGAAACUUCAUAUGUAGAUGCACAUUGAUGAGUUCUACACGCCACACCUAUUUUGGGGUCACUAGGUCAAAGGUCAAGGUUGCGGUGACCUCUUAAAAAAACAAAUUUGUACAAGCUUUCAUUCAUUCAAAACUGCACCCGCAGCCGAGCGUGGCACCCAUUAUGGGGUGCUCUUGUUAUAGUAAACAUGUACAUGUUUCUCUAAACUGUAAACGGGUGUCUGUUUAAGUUAUUGUGAUUUGUUAAUUUUGUAUUGCUAAUUAAAUGAAAUAUUGUGUAUAGUC